rnacentral:rRNA from 1 species
AGCAGUAGGGAAUCUUCCACAAUGGGCGAAAGCCUGAUGGAGCAACGCCGCGUGGGUGAAGAAGGUCUUCGGAUCGUAAAACCCUGUUGUUAGAGAAGAAAGUGCGUGAGAGUAACUGUUCACGUUUCGACGGUAUCUAACCAGAAAGCCACGGCUAACUACGUGCCAGCAGCCGCGGUAAUACGUAGGUGGCAAGCGUUGUCCGGAUUUAUUGGGCGUAAAGCGAGUGCAGGCGGUUCAAUAAGUCUGAUGUGAAAGCCUUCGGCUCAACCGGAGAAUUGCAUCAGAAACUGUUGAACUUGAGUGCAGAAGAGGAGAGUGGAACUCCAUGUGUAGCGGUG